rnacentral:rRNA from 1 species
AGAGUUUGAUCAUGGCUCAGGAUGAACGCUAGCUACAGGCUUAACACAUGCAAGUCGAGGGGAAACGAUAUUGGAAGCUUGCUUCCGAUAGGCGUCGACCGGCGUACGGGUGAGUAACGCGUAUCCAACCUGCCCACCACGUUGGGGAAUAACCUUGCGAAAGUAAGACUAAUACCCAAUGACGUCUCUAGAAGACAUCUGAAAAGAGAUUAAAGAUUUAUCGGUGAUGGAUGGGGAUGCGUCUGAUUAGCUUGUUGGCGGGGUAACGGCCCACCAAGGCGACGAUCAGUAGGGGUUCUGAGAGGAAGGCCCCCCACAUUGGAACUGAGACACGGUCCAAACUCCUACGGGAGGCAGCA